rnacentral:rRNA from 1 species
UACAGAGGUCUCAAGCGUUGUUCGGAUUCAUUGGGCGUAAAGGGCGCGUAGGCGGGAUGGCAAGUCGGUCGUGAAAUCUCUCGGCUCAACCGAGAAACGUCGGCCGAUACUGCCGUUCUUGAGGGAUGCAGAGGAGACUGGAAUUCCCGGUGUAGCGGUGAAAUGUGUAGAGAUCGGGAGGAACACCCGUAGCGAAGGCGGCCGACUGGACCACACCUGACGCUGAGGCGCGAAGGCCAGGGGAGCGAACGGG